rnacentral:rRNA from 1 species
AAUGAAACUUCAAAAGUCGGCUCGUCGUUCUGUGCUGGUGGGAGAGAUCCCAUAUGUGCACGUCGACGGGUCGCAAAUCCACACACCUGUGCAUCUAUGACUCUGAGUAUCGCCGGCCUCGCCUUGGUGCUCGAGUAACUUUUACACACUCUGCAUGUAAUGGAAUGUCUAUUGUGCAUAAUGUACAACUAAAACAACUUUCAACAACGGAUCUCUUGGUUCUGGCAUCGAUGAAGAACGCAGCGAAAUGCGAUAAGUAAUGCGAAUUGCAGAAUUCAGUGAGUCAUCGAAUCUUUGAACGCACAUUGCGCCCUUUAGUAUUCUGAAGGGCAUGCCUGUUCGAGCGUCAUUAUCACUAAUCAAGCCCGGCUUGCUGUUGGAUCUUUUGUCGUUAAAAGACAGGUCCUAAAGAUAAUGACGGCGUCAGUUGGACCCUAGAUGCAACGAGCUUUAACCAGCACGCGUCUUAGUUGGCCCUUUUGACCCGGUCUUUUUUAACAAAAUUUUAAAGGUUGACCUCGGAUCAGGUAGGAAUACCCGCUGAACUUAA